rnacentral:lncRNA from 1 species
GCUAAGAGAGUCGGGGGCACGAAGGGUCGUGUGGAGCUCUUGGUGGGUUUGACCUAGCUACAAAUGAGAAAAUCUCAUUUAUGUGGAUUUAAGUAUCGUAAAAUGGAAAAUCACAUAUUUUCAUGAAAGAUGCAUUAUUUGUGAAUUUUAGAAUGCUUGAAAUGCUUAUGUUAUAUACAAUGCAUUUUUGGACCUCUAUGUAGUAGAGAGCUUGCAUGUGAGACUUAUGCAUGGGUUUAGCAUUCUAAUUGGGACUUGAAAUCAUGCUCCAUAUAGUAGACAUGACAAAUGUAAUAUGCCUUGGACAUAAAUCUCAUUUGGACAUAAGAGAAUACAUUAGGCCAUAAAAUGGCUUUGGACUUGAAUAACUUGUGAGUUAGGGAGCUAAUGUCGUAAUGCGACAUCGGGCUUGAGCUAUGAAUGAGUCUAGCAAAGUAAUGCC